UAGCCACGACAUUUACUAUGGGUUUACCAUAGUAACCAUAGUUUUACUCUGGUAUUUGUAUUUACUAACACACAAUAACCACGACAUUUACUAUGGGUUUACCAUAGUAACCAUAGUUUUACUCUGGUAUUUGUAGUUACUAACACACAAUAACCACGACAUUUACUAUGGGUUUACCAUAGUAACCAUAGUUUUACUCUGGUAUUUGUAGUUACUAACACACAAUAACCACGACACUUACCAGGAUUUUACCACAGUAACUGUGUUUUUACUCUACACUAUUUGUAAAGCACAGUAACCACUAAGUUUGCCAUGCCUUUAAUAUCUUUUUGUGAUGUAAUUGUAAUUCAGUGUUUUUUCUGUCUUGCAGUUACGUCGGAUUACAUACUCCACAACAACCUGUAAUCCAGCAGAUCUUUAAAGAAGCCAUCUCUUGUAAAAUCUCUCUCUCUCUCUCUCUCUCUCUCUCGCUCUCGCUCUGCUAGAAUUAACAGGGAACUUCAACUCCACGCUCCCAAUGCUGAUAUUGAAGAAGCUGUCAAGGGGGCUGAACAAGUCCUUCAAAGGAUCAACCCUUCACAGGAAGGCCUGUCAUGAGAUUUGAAUUUGACCAUCUUGUGCAUUUAUGAAGAAGACCAAAAGCUGCAAAGGCAAACACUUCCAAUGGCAGAAACUGAGAGUUUGCAUGAUGGCAUUUUCUCAGACGCUGAAUCUGAUGUGUACAGAUGAACUCAGGAGCCUACUAGAGUUGCCAAGGAACUUGUGCUUGAACUGAAGACCAGAAACGCAAAGAAAAUCAGUCAAACCAGUCCUAAAGAAAUGAGGAAUGAACAUGGACUUCUUGUGCCCCAAAAGAAAAGACAGAAAGCUCCUAAAAUGAGCAAAUAAGCUGUGCAUCAUCUCUGUGAUUUGGGAAGGAAAUGACUGAAUAUGGCGAGUACUGACACCUGCAACUGUAUUCACCAACACUAUUACUCUAGAAUGGUUAUUGCUGUUAUUGCUGACUUAUUGUUUUGUCUGUUUGUUUGAAUUAAGAUGGAGCCAGUUGAUGAAGAUAUCAAUUGAAUGGCCACCGAGUGCAUCACUGCUACCUGAACCCAUCAGUUAUCUUCUGUGAAGACUGCAUUCACAAACCGCUCUACUGCGACAGCUCAGAUGUUACGGCCUGUAAAAGUAAACAUCACUGCUAAACAACGAGAGCUAGUUGUGGUGGGAUUCUUUUGGCCAAUAUCCCCAACAAGAAUCAAUGACAUCUAGACCAGGUGGAGUGUGAGGAGGACCGUCAGAGACUCCAGCCAGCCGAGCCAUGGAUUGCUCUCACUGUUACCAUCAGGCAUGCGUUAUCACAGAACCUACACCAGCAGACAGUGAGACAAGUUCCUUUCACAGGCAAUCAGACUGAACUGAACUCAUACCAGUAAAACCAUACACACCCCACCAACCUCAUAUGCCCUGCACUCUUAUCAGUUAUGCUGACUGGACUCAAUAUUAUUAUGCACCCUGACAUUCUGUUUGCACUAAUUCAUACCGUGCUGCACUGCAGAGAUGUAUGUGUACUGUGAUUAUUAUUGUUUUCAAUUCAUGCUCUCUGUAUAGCAUAAUUUUUAACAUAUAUUGUUCUCUACCUGAAUUGAGUCCCUUAUAUAUGUGUGUUGCAUAUAUAUAUUCAGAAUUUGUAUUUCAUAUAUAUUCAUGAAUUAAUUCAUUUGUCAUCCAUACUGUCACGCUGCAGUCUGCACCCAAGACUUUCAUCACCUGUAUACUUGUGUUCAUUGUAUUGUGACAAUAAAGAUAUUUGAUUUAAA